rnacentral:lncRNA from 1 species
AAAUUCUCUCCCAAUAGCUUCUAAAUAAAUGGUGUAAUUCUCUCUUUCUCUCUCUAAAACGUCCAACUAGUGAGAGAAAGUAUGAAAACCAGAUUUUUGAAGGGUUUUAAAGUGAGAGGAUGAAAUAGCACAAGGGUUUAUGGAAGAGUACACCAAAAGCAUGAAAAUUGGAGCUAGAGAGAGAAAGUUAUGGAAGCUUGAAGAAAACUCCCAUGGAGAAAUU